rnacentral:rRNA from 1 species
AUUGAACGCUGGCGGCAUGCCUAACACAUGCAAGUCGAACGGCAGCACGACCUAGCUUGCUAGGUUGGUGGCGAGUGGCGCACGGGUGAGUAAUGCGUAGGAAUAUACCUUAAAGUGGGGGACAACCUGGGGAAACUCAGGCUAAUACCGCAUGAGCUCUAAGGAGGAAGGCUGGGGACCUUUCGGGGCCUGGCGCUUUAAGAAUAGCUUACGUCCGAUUAGUUAGUUGGUGGGGUAAAGGCUUACCAAGACGAUGAUCGGUAGCUGGUCUGAGAGGAGGAUCAGCCACACUGGGACAGAGACACGGCCCAGACUCCUACGGGAGGCAGCAGGGGGGAAUAUUGGACAAUGGGGGAAACCCUGAUUCAGCGAUGCCGCGUGUGUGAAGAAGGCCUGCGGGUUGUAAAGCACUUUCGGUGGGGAGGAGGACUUAUAGGUUAAGAGCUAAUGAGUUGGACGUUACCCACAUAAGAAGCACCGGCUAACUCCGUGCCAGCCGCCGCCGUAA